AGAGUUUGAUCCUGGCUCAGAUUGAACGCUGGCGGCAUGCCUUACACAUGCAAGUCGAACGGCAGCACGGGAGCAAUCCUGGUGGCGAGUGGCGAACGGGUGAGUAAUACAUCGGAACGUGCCCAGUAGUGGGGGAUAACCCGGCGAAAGCCGGACUAAUACCGCAUACGACCUACGGGUGAACGCAGGGGAUCGCAAGACCUUGCGCUAUUGGAGCGGCCGAUGUCAGAUUAGCUAGUUGGUGGGGUAAAAGCCCACCAAGGCGACGAUCAGUAGCUGGUCUGAGAGGACGACCAGCCACACUGGGACUGAGACACGGCCCAGACUCCUACAGGAGGCAGCAGUGGGGAAUUUUGGACAAUGGGCGCAAGCCUGAUCCAGCCAUGCCGCGUGCGGGAAGAAGACCUUCGGGUUGUAAACCGCUUUUGUCAGGGAAGAAACGCUCCGGGCUAAUACCCUGGAGUAAUGACGGUACCUGAAGAAUAAGCACCGGCUAACUACGUGCCAGCAGCCGCGGUAAUACGUAGGGUGCAAGCGUUAAUCGGAAUUACUGGGCGUAAAGCGUGCGCAGGCGGCUUUGCAAGACAGAUGUGAAAUCCCCGGGCUUAACCUGGGAACUGCAUUUGUGACUGCAUGGCUAGAGUGCGGCAGAGGGGGAUGGAAUUCCGCGUGUAGCAGUGAAAUGCGUAGAUAUGCGGAGGAACACCGAUGGCGAAGGCAAUCCCCUGGGCCUGCACUGACGCUCAUGCACGAAAGCGUGGGGAGCAAACAGGAUUAGAUACCCUGGUAGUCCACGCCCUAAACGAUGUCAACUGGUUGUUGGACGGCUUGCUGUUCAGUAACGAAGCUAACGCGUGAAGUUGACCGCCUGGGGAGUACGGCCGCAAGGUUGAAACUCAAAGGAAUUGACGGGGACCCGCACAAGCGGUGGAUGAUGUGGUUUAAUUCGAUGCAACGCGAAAAACCUUACCUACCCUUGACAUGUCUGGAAUCCUAGAGAGAUUUGGGAGUGCUCGAAAGAGAACCAGAACACAGGUGCUGCAUGGCCGUCGUCAGCUCGUGUCGUGAGAUGUUGGGUUAAGUCCCGCAACGAGCGCAACCCUUAUCAUUAGUUGCUACGCAAGGGCACUCUAAUGAGACUGCCGGUGACAAACCGGAGGAAGGUGGGGAUGACGUCAGGUCAUCAUGGCCCUUAUGGGUAGGGCUACACACGUCAUACAAUGGCCGGUACAGAGGGCUGCCAACCCGCGAGGGGGAGCUAAUCUCAGAAAACCGGUCGUAGUCCGGAUCGCAGUCUGCAACUCGACUGCGUGAAGUCGGAAUCGCUAGUAAUCGCGGAUCAGCUUGCCGCGGUGAAUACGUUCCCGGGUCUUGUACACACAGCCCGUCACACCAUGGGAGCGGGUUCUGCCAGAAGUAGUUAGCCUAACCGCAAGGAGGGCGAUUACCACGGCAGGGUUCGUGACUGGGGUGAAGUCGG
rnacentral:rRNA from 1 species